rnacentral:rRNA from 1 species
UACGAAGGUCCCAAGCGUUAUCCGGAAUUAUUGGGCGUAAAGAGCUCGUAGGCGGUUUGUCGCGUCUGCCGUGAAAGUCCGGGGCUCAACUCCGGAUCUGCAGUGGGUACGGGCAGACUAGAGUGUGGUAGGGGAGACUGGAAUUCCUGGUGUAGCGGUGGAAUGCGCAGAUAUCAGGAGGAACACCGAUGGCGAAGGCAGGUCUCUGGGCCACUACUGACGCUGAGAAGCGAAAGCAUGGGGAGCGAACAGG